AACGAACGCUGGCGGCAUGCCUAACACAUGCAAGUCGAACGAGACCUUCGGGUCUAGUGGCGCACGGGUGCGUAACACGUGGGAAUCUGCCCUUUGCUUCGGAAUAACAGUUAGAAAUGACUGCUAAUACCGGAUGAUGUCGAACGACCAAAGAUUUAUCGGCAAAGGAUGAGCCCGCGUAGGAUUAGGUGGUUGGUGGGGUAAAGGCCUACCAAGCCGACGAUCCUUAGCUGGUCUGAGAGGAUGAUCAGCCACACUGGGACUGAGACACGGCCCAGACUCCUACGGGAGGCAGCAGUGGGGAAUAUUGGACAAUGGGCGAAGGCCUGAUCCAGCAAUGCCGCGGGAGUGAUGAAGGCCUUAGGGUUGUAAAGCUCUUUUACCAGGGAUGAUAAUGACAGUACCUGGAGAAUAAGCACCGGCUAACUCCGUG
rnacentral:rRNA from 1 species